GACGAACGCUGGCGGCGUGCUUAACACAUGCAAGUCGAACGGGAAGGCCCUGCUUUUGUGGGGUGCUCGAGUGGCGAACGGGUGAGUAACACGUGAGUAACCUGCUCUUGACUUUGGGAUAACUUCAGGAAACUGGGGCUAAUACCGGAUAGGAGCUCCUGCUGCAUGGUGGGGGUUGGAAAGUUUCGGCGGUUGGGGAUGGACUCGCGGCUUAUCAGCUUGUUGGUGGGGUAGUGGCUUACCAAGGCUUUGACGGGUAGCCGGCCUGAGAGGGUGACCGGCCACAUUGGGACUGAGAUACGGCCCAGACUCCUACGGGAGGCAGCAGUGGGGAAUAUUGCACAAUGGGCGGAAGCCUGAUGCAGCAACGCCGCGUGCGGGAUGACGGCCUUCGGGUUGUAAACCGCUUUCGCCUGUGACGAAGCGUGAGUGACGGUAAUGGGUAAAGAAGCACCGGCUAACUACGUG
rnacentral:rRNA from 1 species